UCUUUAAUUGGGCUGUUUCUGGAUGAGACUGCCUCUCACCACAGAUUAUUUAGCAGCCAGGGAUUUCAGAGAGCAAAAGGGACUUCAGGACCGUCUCACUGGAGGGGUUCUGUCAUUUGGCUGUUGCUGGAUGGGACUGCCUCUCACCACAGAUUAUUUAGCUGCCUGGAAUUUCAGAGAGCAAAAGGGACUUCAGGAGAGGACAGACGUGAGCCAGCCUGAAGAAACAUCAAGUACCACCCCAGGAAUAAAUCUUGAAUUCCCUAAAUAUCAAAAGGAUCUGCAAGAUUUCUGAGGCCUGCCUACACAUUUUAGGGUGCUUCAAGUUGUGAUGGGGCACUCCUUCGUCAUCUUGUAAUUUCAUCCUGGGACAUAGAGUGUAAGCAACAUUAAGUGCCCUUCAACAGCACUACCAGACAUGUUAUUCAGGCUUACCAUCGUCACUGUCUCAACAUCUUCUGCACCUGUGAGAGGCCAGCCCGAGAUGUGAGAACACUGUUCCACCUUGGACUUGCCUUUGUCGUGGUUCCUGUCUUUCCCAGAGAGCCCCUGCAAGAUGCAAGAUGAAGGGAGACAGCUAGGUCUACAGCCCAGACAUCUUUCACUGACACAUGCCUCUGGGGCCUCAGCCACUCUUCUAGAAAGAAGAGGAGCAUACCACACCAAAACACAAGUAUCUAUUAGCGUUCCAUCAUCCUGCAACCAACCCAGCAUGAGACACUAGUAGUGCUGUCCACCAGGCUUCUUGAAAUUACCUCGAAUUCAGUUCCCAGCCAAGCAGGUGCUUCAUAAGGAGAGGAAAAACAUAAGCCAGCCUGAAGAUACGUCAAGCACAGCCACAGGAAUAAACUGCAAAAUCCCUAAGAAUCCAAAAGGAUCUGCAGGAUUUCUCAAGCCUGCCUAGAUGUCGAAUCUUUGAACAUCGCUUGGACUCGUUCACAAGUCAGCUCAUUCUCUCAGCGCUACUGGACACCAUUCUCAGGCUGGCAAUUGCCACAGAGGGCAUCUGAGACAUUGUCUCAACUUCAUCUGCACCAGUGGGAGGCCUUUCCCAGGUGGGAGAACACUACUCCACUUUGGAAUUGCCAUUGUCAGUGUUCCUGGCUUUCCCAGAGAGCCACUGCAAGGCCCAGGAUGAAGGGAGGCAGUGAGAUUAAGGACACAAUCAUCUUUCACUGACAUCCAACUCUGGGACCUCAGGGUUUCCUCAUUCUGGCUUAACGACUUCAACACAAAACGUUUAAAACUUCACUUAGAACGAUCCUCAUGGGAAUCCAUUGUAGAGUCUCUUCCUUUGGGCUGUUCCUGGAUGGGACUGCCUGGCACCACAGAUCACUUAGCUGCCAGGAACUUCAGCGAGCAUAAGAGACUUCAGAAAGCCUUUGUGAGGCCCAGGAUGAAGGGAGGCAAUGAGGUUAAGGGCCCAACUGCCAGAAUAUAUUCCAAUACCCACGGGACUUGAUUACUGCACACAGCCUCUUUCGUGAAUGGUGUCAAAAGGGCCAUUUCCUCAGGCCUGCCUAGACGUUGUACGGUGUUUCCUGGGAUUGGCUCAUCGACCUCUACACUAAAUGUUUCCAAGGUCAUGGAGAACGACCCCAGUGGGAAUCCAUUGACCUUCUCUUUGUGGAGGGGAUCUUUUAUUGGCUUGUUCCUGGAUGGGACUGACUUUGACCAAAUAUUAUCAAGGUGACAGUGACUUCAGAGAGCUGAAGGGACUUCAGGAAUCCAGAGUGACCCUCAACAGAACUACUGGACACUCUUUUUGGGCUUACCAUCACUACAGACGGCCUCUGGGGCAUUAUCUCAAACUCAUCUCCACCUGUGAGUGGACAGUCCGAGGUGUGAGAACACUGCUCCAAUGUGGACUUGCAUUUUUCUUGGUUCCUGCCUUUCCAAGACAGCCCUGAGAGGUCCAGGAUGAAGGGAGGCAGCGAGGUCAAGACCCCAGCCAUCUUUCACUGAUAUUUACCUCUGGUUUCUAAAGUAUAAUUCUAACACUUAAAGAACCCUCAACAACACUACAGACAAAAUUCGAAUCCCCAUGGGACCUGAUUCUUGCACACAGCCUCUGUCGGGCAUGGAUUCAGAAGGGCAGUUUCCACUGACCACAUUAGAGUCUUGAAAUGCCUCCUCAUCCAGCUGGGCCUAACCACAGAGACUGCUAGAAAGGGUCCCGAGGUUGAGAAUUUUAGGUUCAUGCAGUAGGCUUUAAUAGGCAGCCUUUUUCCCAAUAGCAGCCCAGCUCUGCCGAUACCAUUUUCCUCUGCUUAGGCAGGCUGACACCUCUGACAGCUGGGCACCUGAGCCUGCCUCUUGAAUAUGCAUGUGCUAAAGUCAGGGCAUUGGGCUGAUUUUGAGUUUUGGUUAACGUCACAAUGAAUGUCACCAUUGCCUAGUGGCAAGUCCCUGUGGCUUGGCAAAGAAGGAGAACUCUGUGGAGGUGCGUCGGGCAUGGACACUCACCUGUCUUUUUUGUGGGAUCCACAGGAUAAUCCCAUGAUCCUAGAAGAAGGCAGACAUGAGCCAGUCUGAAGAAAAGCCAAGCACAGCCCCAGAAAUAGACCACAAAAUUCCUAAGUAUCCACAAUAUCUGAAGGACUACUCAGGCCUGCCAAGACGUUGUAGAUGUGAAUUUUUUUAAGUUUGCUGCACUGUUUUUUAGGUACAGCCUACCUGUUUCCCAGGGUUGCUGUCUCCCAGUUAGUGUUUCCUGCAGAACCACAUAGUUUCAGGAGCUGCAGGUCUUUGUGUUUCUGUGGGAGUGUGGUGAGAGUUGGAUGUCUGCGUGUGUGUAGCAUUGUGUGUGUGUGUGUAUGUGUUCCUGUAAUUAGAGUCUGCUUAAAGGAAUGUGGCUGAUGCACUACAACACUUCUUUGUUUUUUUUUUGAGUCCCCCAACCUUUGGUGGCCUGUCUUUUUGCCUUUGCUUAGGCUGCAGGGCUCCGUGUUCUUUAUUUUCUGUUGAUCAUGAAUCUGCAAAGGUUUGUGAGUUGGUCCAAGAACAGCUGGAGUUCAAAUCACCUCCCUUUCCAAAAAAAAAAAAAAAAAAAAAACACUC
ensembl:lncRNA LINC00279 long intergenic non-protein coding RNA 279